GAGGAAUAUUGGUCAAUGGACGGAAGUCUGGACCAGCCAAGUAGCGUGCAGGAUGACGGCCCUAUGGGUUGUAAACUGCUUUUGUAUGGGGAUAAAGUUAGGGACGUGUCCCUAUUUGCAGGUACCAUACGAAUAAGGACCGGCUAAUUCCGUGCCAGCAGCCGCGGUAAUACGGAAGGUCCAGGCGUUAUCCGGAUUUAUUGGGUUUAAAGGGAGCGUAGGCUGGAGAUUAAGUGUGUUGUGAAAUGUAGACGCUCAACGUCUGAAUUGCAGCGCAUACUGGUUUCCUUGAGUACGCACAACGUUGGCGGAAUUCGUCGUGUAGCGGUGAAAUGCUUAGAUAUGACGAAGAACUCCGAUUGCGAAGGCAGCUGACGGGAGCGCAACUGACGCUUAAGCUCGAAGGUGCGGGUAUCAAACAGGAUUAGAUACCCUGGUAGUCCGCACAGUAAACGAUGGAUGCCCGCUGUUGGUACCUGGUAUCAGCGGCUAAGCGAAAGCAUUAAGCAUCCCACCUGGGGAGUACGCCGGCAACGGUG
rnacentral:rRNA from 1 species